rnacentral:rRNA from 1 species
GGGUGAGUAAGACGAGGGUAACCUGCCCUGUACUCUGGGAUAAGCCUGGGAAACUAGGUCUAAUACCGGAUAUGACUCCACUAGGCAUCUUGUGGGGUGGAAAGUUCCGGCGGUACAGGAUGGACCCGCGGCCUAUCAGCUUGUUGGUGGGGUAAUGGCCUACCAAGGCGACGACGGGUAGCCGGCCUGAGAGGGUGACCGGCCACACUGGGACUGAGACACGGCCCAGACUCCUACGGGAGGCAGCAGUGGGGAAUAUUGCACAAUGGGCGAAAGCCUGAUGCAGCGACGCCGCGUGAGGGAUGACGGCCUUCGGGUUGUAAACCUCUUUCAGCAGGGACGAAGCGCAAGUGACGGUACCUGCAGAAGAAGCACCGGCUAACUACGUGCCAGCAGCCGCGGUAAUACGUAGGGUGCGAGCGUUGUCCGGAAUUAUUGGGCGUAAAGAGCUCGUAGGCGGUUUGUUGCGUCGGCUGUGAAAACUUCACGCUUAACGUGGAGCCUGCAGUCGAUACGGGCAGACUUGAGUUCGGCAGGGGAGACUGGAAUUCCUGGUGUAGCGGUGAAAUGCGCAGAUAUCAGGAGGAACACCGGUGGCGAAGGCGGGUCUCUGGGCCGAUACUGACGCUGAGGAGCGAAAGCGUGGGGAGCGAACAGGAUUAGAUACCCU